GGAGACAGGGGGCCCAAAAAUGCAAGUCGUACAAGGGUAACCGUAAUUGCUCCUGGAUUCAGCGGCGGACGGGUGAGUAAUGCCUAGGAAUCUGCCUGGUAGUGGGGGAUAACGUCCGGAAACGGGCGCUAAUACCGCAUACGUCCUGAGGGAGAAAGUGGGGGAUCUUCGGACCUCACGCUAUCAGAUGAGCCUAGGUCGGAUUAGCUAGUUGGUGGGGUAAAGGCCUACCAAGGCGACGAUCCGUAACUGGUCUGAGAGGAUGAUCAGUCACACUGGAACUGAGACACGGUCCAGACUCCUACGGGAGGCAGCAGUGGGGAAUAUUGGACAAUGGGCGAAAGCCUGAUCCAGCCAUGCCGCGUGUGUGAAGAAGGUCUUCGGAUUGUAAAGCACUUUAAGUUGGGAGGAAGGGCAGUAAGUUAAUACCUUGCUGUUUUGACGUUACCAACAGAAUAAGCACCGGCUAACUUCGUGCCAGCAGCCGCGGUAAUACGAAGGGUGCAAGCGUUAAUCGGAAUUACUGGGCGUAAAGCGCGCGUAGGUGGUUCAGCAAGUUGGAUGUGAAAUCCCCGGGCUCAACCUGGGAACUGCAUCCAAA
rnacentral:rRNA from 1 species